rnacentral:siRNA from 1 species
UCCAUGGUUUGCCAAUGGAGGAUC